rnacentral:rRNA from 1 species
UACGGGGGGAGCAAACGUUGUUCGGAAUCACUGGGCUUAAAGGGCGCGUAGGCGGGUCAGCAAGUCCGGGGUGAAAUCUUUCGGCUCAACCGGAAAAGUGCCUUGGAUACUGCUGGUCUCGAGGGAGGUAGGGGUUUGUGGAACUUCUGGUGGAGCGGUGAAAUGCGUUGAUAUCAGAAGGAACGCCGGUGGCGAAAGCGACGAACUGGACCUCUUCUGACGCUGAGGCGCGAAAGCUAGGGGAGCAAACGGG